rnacentral:rRNA from 1 species
UACAGGGGGGGGCAAGCGUUUGUUCGGAAUUACUGGGCGUAAAGGGUCUGUAGGUGGCCAACUAAGUCAGACGUGAAAUCCCUCAGCUUAACUGGGGAACUGCGUCUGAUACUGGAUGGCUCGAGUGUGGGAGAGGAAUGCGGAAUUCCAGGUGUAGCGGUGAAAUGCGUAGAUAUCUGGAGGAACACCGGUGGCGAAGGCGGCAUUCUGGACCAUAACUGACACUGAGAGACGAAAGCCAGGGGAGCAAACGGG